rnacentral:misc_RNA from 1 species
AGCAGCCGCGGUAAUUCCAGCUCCAAUAGCGUAUAUUAAAGUUGUUGCAGUUAAAAGCUCGUAGUUGAAUUUCGGGAUUGGCGCAUCGGUCGUGCCUCACGGGGUAUGAACUGGUGCAGUCAAUUUCUCACCUUCUGGAGAACCGCGAUGUCCUUAAUUGGAUGCCGUGGGGAACCAGGACCUUUACUUGAAAAAUUGAGUGUUUAAAGCAGGCAUUUUUGCUUGAAUACAUUAGCAUGGAAUAAUAAAAUAGGACGGCAUGGUUCUAUUUUGUUGGUUUCUAGGACCACCGUAAUGAUUAAUAGGGAUAGUUGGGGGCAUUAGUAUUCAAUUGUCAGAGGUGAAAUUCUUGGAUUUAUUGAAGACUAACUACUGCGAAAGCAUUUGCCAAGGAUGUUUUCAUUAAUCAAGAACGAAAGUUAGGGAUCGAAGACGAGCAGAUACCGUCGUAGUCUUAACCAUAAACUAUAGCCGACUAGGAAUCAGACGAUGUUAAUUUUUAAUGUACUCGUUUGGCUAC